AUGAAACAGGGGUCAAUGAUCUGGGUAAAGCGGUGGCUUGAGGGCCUCCCCAAGCCCGCCGAGCUGGUGGUACCCGGACUUGGGCCAAUCACCAAGGGCCGGGGGUGGUCACUGGGGCUUCACGCGGGCCGGGACGUCCUCUCGGCCUUUGGAGCGGAGGCAUCGUCGGCCCUUCGCCCUCUCAGUUCGGUCAGGAGUCUGUGGGCGAGGCGCACCCAGCUCCCGAGUCUCGCACGAGGGGCAGGGGUGGGGGUCGGGGCGAGGGCCGGUGGUCACCGAGGUGUCACCAUGGACUCCAACCACACUAACUGCAGGGUAGAGGGCUUUAGGAGAUGGUACGAGAGCGACCGCGCACUUGCCGCAGCCUUGGCGAGGCGGUUCCACCAGGCCUUAAACUGGGAGGGGGUGAUGGGCGGCCGCCCGGGCUGGGCUGGCCGGCGGCAGGAGGAGGCGGAGGCGUUAGAGGUGGAGGUUGAGGCUAUGGCCUUGGCCAGGGCCUCGGGCAGCCCCAGUGAGGCACAGGAGCGGAGUGAGCUCGGGGCUCAGGCAGCGGCAGCACAAGGAGCAGGAGCGGCGGCAGCAGCAGCCGAGGCAGCAGCGGGAGGAGCAGCAGCCGCGGGAGCAGCAGCACAGGCCGCCGCUGAGGCACGGGCCUUGGCCGACAGCAGCGCCCUGGAGGACGACCAGAUGGAGCUGGAGGAUGAAGGCGACGCCAUGGAGGAGGAGGAAGCCGGCGACGCUGCCGCCGCCGCCUCCUCAGCCUUUGCCCGCGACCGCGGGCUCGAAGCCGUAGUCGACGACCAGGGUUUCCAGGAGGGGGAGGAGGAGAUCGGCCUUGAGGAGGAGGGUGAGCGGGUGACCGUGGUGGCUGCCUCGGGCCCCUUCCGCCACCCGCAGCUGCCCUUGGAGGGGGCGUUUGGAGCCGGCUCCCUUUCCCUUCUUUAUAGAGGAGGAGGAGGAGGAGGAGGAGGAGGAGGAGGAGGAGGAGAUGGCGGCUCCGGCCCCGGCCCCAGCCGGUCGCUUUUCUCUAUCGGGGUUGGGCCCGGGGUCCCUUCUCCCGCGGGGGCAGUGGGCUGGCUGGCCCCCGGGGGGGCGGGGGCCCCCUACACCGGGCCCCGGGGAAGCCACUGGAAGCGAGGUGUCAAGAGGCCUCGUGAGGAGCAGAGCCGGGGCUUCGCCAACGGCUUGGAAGGCAACCAGUCCGAGCCGGUGCGGGCUGCGGGAACCGCCGCCGCCGCUCCCCCCCAGCAGCUGGCCCCAACUAGAAGCAACAGACAAGCGGAGAAGGAUCGGGACGGGAUAACAUGUGAAGAAAGAUAACAGCAGAAAGGUCUCAAAAGAAGAUCUGCUCCUUCCAAGGCUCUGCCAUACUAUACUGUUGCUUACUACAAAAGAAUAUUUAAAGAACAAAUAAAAUUUGAAGGCAAAAUACUGUUUCAGUCUUGUGUUAUUUGCAGAAAUAAACAUAGAAUGGUAGAAUAUGCAU
rnacentral:lncRNA from 1 species